UUUCCUUUCCUCUCAAAAGAUGGCUCACCAGAUCCUGGCUGUGUUUCCACAACUUCAGGCAGCAAUGACUGGCUUUUAACGAACCUUGGCAGUUUCUUCAAUUAUGCCACCUUGACAGAGCUGAAGAUUUUAAAUGCAAAUUUCUCUAGUGUUGCAGUGUUUGGUUUACUGUCCAUUGAGCAGAAGGCUCAGUUCAU